GGAGGGGUUCCCGAGCGGUCAAAGGGGGCAGACUGUAAAUCUGUUGGCUCAGCCUUCGGAGGUUCGAAUCCUCCCCCCUCCACCA
rnacentral:tRNA from 12 species